AGUGGCAGACGGGUGAGUAACACGUGGGAACGUACCCUUUGGUUCGGGACAACUCUGGGAAACUGGAGCUAAUACCGGAUACGCCCUUUUGGGGAAAGGUUUGCUGCCGAAGGAUCGGCCCGCGUCUGAUUAGCUAGUUGGUGGGGUAACGGCCUACCAAGGCGACGAUCAGUAGCUGGUCUGAGAGGAUGAUCAGCCACACUGGGACUGAGACACGGCCCAGACUCCUACGGGAGGCAGCAGUGGGGAAUAUUGGACAAUGGGCGCAAGCCUGAUCCAGCCAUGCCGCGUGAGUGAUGAAGGCCUUAGGGUUGUAAAGCUCUUUUAUCCGGGACGAUAAUGACGGUACCGGAGGAAUAAGCCCCGGCUAACUUCGUGCCAGCAGCCGCGGUAAUACGAAGGGGGCUAGCGUUGCUCGGAAUCACUGGGCGUAAAGGGCGCGUAGGCGGCGUUUUAAGUCGGGGGUGAAAGCCUGUGGCUCAACCACAGAAUGGCCUUCGAUACUGGGACGCUUGAGUCUGGUAGAGGUUGGUGGAACUGCGAGUGUA
rnacentral:rRNA from 1 species